rnacentral:rRNA from 1 species
GAUGAACGCUGGCGGCGUGCCUAAUACAUGCAAGUCGAGCGAACGGACGAGAAGCUUGCUUUUCUGAUGUUAGCGGCGGACGGGUGAGUAACACGUGGAUAACCUUCCUAUAAGACUGGGAUAACUUCGGGAAACCGGAGCUAAUACCGGAUAAUAUUUUGAACCGCAUGGUUCAAAAGUGAAAGACGGUCUUGCUGUCACUUAUAGAUGGAUCCGCGCUGCAUUAGCUAGUUGGUAAGGUAACGGCUUACCAAGGCAACGAUGCAUAGCCGACCUGAGAGGGUGAUCGGCCACACUGGAACUGAGACACGGUCCAGACUCCUACGGGAGGCAGCAGUAGGGAAUCUUCCGCAAUGGGCGAAAGCCUGACGGAGCAACGCCGCGUGAGUGAUGAAGGUCUUCGGAUCGUAAAACUCUGUUAUUAGGGAAGAACAUAUGUGUAAGUAACUGUGAACAUCUUGACGGUACCUAAUCAGAAAGCCACGGCUAACUACGUG